GCGCUCUUAGCUCAAUUGGUAGAGCACCUGACUCUUAAUCAGUAGGUUCCGGGGUCGAGUCCCGGAGGGCGCACCA
rnacentral:tRNA from 1 species